CCCGGGUCCCGGCCCAAGGACGUCGGGGCAGCCCCACCCCAAACGGCCGGGCAACCACCCCGGGCGCCCGCCCAGCCAGAUUUAUGUACAUUUCUUGAUGUCCCUGUGUCCAGUGCGGAACAGUGUUGCACCUUACGUCUCUUGCCGGAGUAGAACCUACUGCACACAAACCCCCCACCCGGGCAGCGCCGAGGCAAAGGUCCGCCAGAACCAGGGGCGCGGGGCCGCGGCCAUCUUGAGCGGGGCGCACCUCGCAGGUCGCGCGGGCGGGGCGGGAAGGGGCGCGGCCCCGGGACCCCGCCCCGCGAGGGCCUCUCGGGCGCGCGGGCGGCGGGCGCACUCGCGGUCGCACGGACAGCAGGAGCGCACGGACAGCAGCAGCGCACGUCCACUGCAGGCGCCGCGGGUCGCGAGAACUUUGUCUGCUGCUGCACAGCGGAGUUUCCGGGGGAUUGAGUGAGCCCAGCAGAAACCGAAAAUGCCGAAACCAGUAAGUUGCCCUGGUUCUGGGCCGGGUCACGUGCGCCAGGCUCCCCCUCCGUCGGGAGUCACCUGCUUGAGUGGAUGGGGACAAGAACCGGGCGCUGACGGCCUGUCCCCUGACCAUUUGUUGAUCCUUUUGCGGGACGCCAGAAAGACACUAUUGUGCUCUUCUCUCGCUAGGCCUUUUCUCCGUGAGUCCCCUUCCCCGAAGUUGUGGUCAUUCUUGAAAAUGAGGCGGAGGCCCCCUUUACCUUGUUUCUGUUUUUUUUUUUUUUAAAGUGCCUGCUAGUGCAACUUUGAAGUUUCUUAAAAAGUGCAAAUCGCACUCUGGUGGUUUUCAACUACCUACACCUGCUGGUCCAUUUCCUUCAACGGUCCGAAACCACAUGCAGCCCGCACUUUCCCGGGGCGAUUUGAAGGGCAUUUGGGAGAGAAGACACCCUCUCUGCAGCAGGCAGCCUCCAUACAGUCCGAUUCCCACCGGGUCCGGGAGGCGCUGGCCUGUAAACCUGGGAAUUUGCUGGUUACAGCAGGAUUCCUAUCUCUGAAAGGGUUUAGCGAUGGACUUGAAUUGCAGAUGAAGCCGCCCUGGAGCUUGAUAAGGACGCUCCCUGGGCUUUGGUCGUGUACUGCUGGUGAAGUCAGCUGAUUCAAGUGCUGUGUUCCUGCCCCCCGUCCACGAGUAUGAUUUGAUUGUGUUGAGAUUGCUGACCAGGCCUGGGUGGUUGUAGGAACAGGUUCUUAGUGCUAUUGCUUAGAAAGUUGUAUAUAUUUCAGCGGGUGACACACACCUGUAACACCAACUGUUCCCAGGCUGAGGCAGGAGAAUUGCGAGUUCCAAGCCCGUCUGGAUAACUUAGUGAGACCCUUGUCUCAAAUAAAAAAUAAAAAGGUCUGGAGAUGUAGCUUAGUGGUAAAGCGCCCCUUUACCACUGGUCAAUCCUCAGUACUGGAAACAAACAAAAACUUGUGUAUAUUCCACCAUUUUAACACUGGUGAGCUGGGUGACUUGGCACUAGCAAGAGGGUUUUACCUUUUUUUUGAGAUUUGAGUCAUGGAGAAAAUAUCGGGUCAUUAACAUUUAUAAUUAAUGAUACAUAAAAAUUUAUUUCUAGUUUUUCAAAUAAUGUGAUUCUUUAACCAAUACUUUUGUGCCUUUCCUACUGUUAAGUUUUAUGUUCCCUGAAAGGAAUUCUUGAUAAGAAGACUUAUUUUACUAUUAGGUUAAAAAAAUUACUAAUAGAUUCAGACACCAUAGACUUUUGAUGUGAGUCAUAUUAUUAAGAUGACUGGUUCAUGAGGCAGAUGUUUUUUUUCCUAUACAAAAUUCUUCCUUUCAUUUCAAAAGUGACACAUAGCAGCCAAGCUCUACAGUGCCUGUGGUCUACCUCUGGCCUGAUUGUAGCUCCUUAACCAGGACUGCAGAGUGUAGCAAGCUUGGGGAUUUGGGCGGCGACGGGGGUCAAGAAAUGAGCUUCUGGUGUGGUUUUCUGCUGAGUGCUAAGAUAGUGCCCAGAAAAAACAGUGUUUCUGGUCACUACUUUUCUUUUUCUUUUCAUAAUUUGUAAUUUCUUUUAGUCUUUUUCUGUUUUUUUUUUUUUAACUUCUUUUAAUUGUGGUGAAAUGUAUGUAACACUUAAUUUGUCGUUGUAACCAUUUUUAAGUGUGCAACUCACUGGCAUUACGUGUUCCUGUUGUUAAGCAGCCAUCACCUGAACAUCAUCACCCCACAGUGACCCCCAGUACCCAUUAAGCACUCGCGCCCCAUUUCCUCAGCCCCCAGCCUCUGGCCACUACCAUUCUAGUUUGCCUCUGUGAAUUCAGCUACUCUGGGGACCUUGGUGUGGGUGCCUUUCAGUAUGUGUCCUUCUGUGCCUGUUUCAUUUCCCUCCACAUGAAUGGCCUCUUCAGGGCUCACCUGCUUUGCAGGUAUGUCAGAAUUCCCAGCCUUUUUGUCUUACAGCAGGUGUGUUUGAACUUCAUUUUGAUUUAAAGUCUUGGUGAUGCCUAAGAAUUUAAAAAUUGUGUCUGACACAGGGAAGAUGGUUGUAAAACUGCAAAGGAAGGCGAGUAGCCAUCACCCUGUGUGUGUGUGUGUGUGUGUGUGCGAGUGAGCCUCAGUACCAGAGGAACUUUUUGAAAGGCUGUGUUUUAUGUAAUAUAUUCAGUUACUAUUUUUGAAUCUUAUUGAGAGGUCUCCUUUUAGGUGAGCCAGACUUGUCUGCUGUGGAAAUCCCUGCCUGUUCCUCCUUGGGCAGGAGAGAGUGUUACCAUCUACAAAUUAUGUUAGGACCACCCUGUCUGUCAUUGAGAAGGGCACAGUAGCCAUCUCUAAGGUAGUUAUGGAGAAUCUAGUUUGAUAGUUUUAAGUUUUGGGGGCUCUUCUGUUGGUUGUAUUUUUGGAUUUGAUAAAUGGUGAAGGUACGUUCUUCAGUGAGCUUCAUCUUUUAAACAAAGGGCUAUUGAUUCUAAUUAUUCAGUCCCAAGUUAAGAAUUUCACUUAGGUAGCUUUCAUGGGAUUGAAUGUUUAAUAAUAGGAUUAAGAGUCAAUUACACUUAAUGUAUACAUCUGAAUAGUUGGGGUUUGGGGCUUCCACCCACCUGGUGAUUGAUUUACCUGCACUGAGAGGAUGACUUUGUACAUAAAACAGUAUAAAUGAAAUAAUACUCAUUUACUGUACCUUAAUACUGCUUCUGAAAGCACCACUUAUUGAGGGGGUUGAGUGUUUAUGUGUUUGGCCAGCAGGGUGCCCUACAAGAGGUGAUGAGGAUUCUGUCCUGGGGGGGGGGGGCACUGUCUGGAACCUGAACCAAGACACAGGCACACACUGAAGCGGAAAGUAGGGAACUCUAAGCUUUCUCAGGGGAAAGGAGCCUUAGUGGAGUGUGACAGGACAGACAUCUGGUGGGGACAAGGGCGAGCCCUGGAGAAGCCCAUUUCAGGGGAGGAGGGCUGUGGCCUGUCUGGUCUUGCUUUCCUCCGCUGCUUUGGGGCAGUAUUCCGUGGGACUGGUGGACUUCCAAGGAGGGCACUCUGGUGCUCUGGCCUCCUUGGAGGACGGGGGUGGGGGGGGAUUGACAUGCAGGGAAUGGUUCAGGAGGCAGUCCUUGUGCCACCUUCCAGGCCAGGUGACCCACAGAGUUUCUCCUCCUUCCUCUUUCUCACUCCCUGGCUUGCUUUUCUCAUCUGAUGGGAAAGCUUGGAGGUGAAAUGCCUCAGGCACCAGGAGGUGUCUGAACUGUGUGGGCUGAAGGGUGUUAGAGGAGUUUAACAUAAAGGGAGGUUUACCCUCCUUCAGAGAACUCUGAACAUGGGUUCAAAGUCUGCCUGUGGCAGAGCUUGAGGAGAGUUUGUGAGAUAACCCAGCUCUUUGAGAAUAGUGCUUUCCACUAAGUAUUUCAACAGGGACAGGAUUUCCUGGAUAAUGGUUUUACUCCCCGCCCCCUGCCACCCUUCACCGAAGACACAGAGGACCCCUCUCCACCCCUCCUCCUUCACCAUGGGCAGAUGGUGAAUGAGGUAGCUAAGAUUUUGGCAGGUGGUGGUGAGAAAUGCUGGCUGGGGUUGCUGGUUUGCCAUCCUCACACCGUAAGGCAUGAUGAAUAUUUAGAUUUCAUCCGCUAGUUCAGCAGAGAGGCACUGAGGCUCCCAGGUGGCAGACACAGAAGUGGCCCUGUCAUCAUGGGUUUACCUUCUGGUUUGGGGACAGAGUAGUCAUAGUAAAUGCAGAGCCUCUGGUCUGGCUGUUGUGCCUGAGGUGUGUGCUGGUUGGGGGAGGUGAGACAGGUCAGAAAGGCGGCCCUGGAGGUGAGGGGCUUGCUGAACUAGGUGAGGACUGAAGGGGUUUGAAUAGGGUGGGGAGGGGUCAGGGUGGGACUCCACCACUUGGAUCUCGCCAAGUAGAGGACACUCUAGUUGGGUGCUAGGCAAAGCCUCCCGUGGCCAGAGAGGAAAUCAGAGGUCAGGCCAUAUCUUACAAGCCAUGUUCAAGCUUUUUUUGGUUUUGACCUUCUAGAAGGAGGUGACAUGAACAGAUUGGCCUUUGAAAAAUUGACUAGAGGCUAUAAUGUAAGAGUCUGCAAGAGGUGGCAGGUAAUGAUUGGGUCUGGGGUGGUGGAACUGGAGAGAAGUGGAUGUCCUGGGGGGCUCUUUGGGAGGUAAAACUCAGAGCACUUGGUGUGGGUUGAAGGUGCAGGGUGUGUCCACUGCCUCCUGGUUUCUGGCUUGCAGAACUGAGUGAAUGAUGGGCCCAUCACUGAGAUAAGGAACCAUGGAGGAGGACCAGCUGUGAGGAGGGUCAGAGUCUGUUUUUGCACAUGCUGUUAGGUCGUGUCUGUGGUGGGUGAAAGAAGUUCUUGCCUUCUUCAAAUUUCAGCUUCACCUCCAUGGUGCCAAAGAGAAAGAGAACCUAGACAGUGCCCACAAUCCCACUCCUCAUUCCUGUUUCUCUCCUGUUCCUCCCACAGUGGGCGCUUUUGUUACUGCCCUAAAUGAUAGCAUUGAGAUUUCUAACAAAAUUUUGAAUAAUUUUGUAAGAACAAAAUUAUUUGUUAAGGGGCUGAAGUUGUAGCUCAGGGGUAGAGUGCUUGCCUGGCAUGUGUGAGGCACUGGGUUCAAUUCUCAGCACCAUGUUUAAGUAAAUGAUUAAAAGGUCCAUCAACAACUUAACAAAUAUUAAGUUUUGUUUUGUUUUGUUUUUUUAAGUUUGGGAAAAGAACACAGAAUCACUUAGUGGAUCAUAGCUCUUUUUUGUAGUUUUUUUUACUUAGACUUAAACUUGAUGUAUGUUGGAUAGUUAGGAGAUUCAUUAGGUGAUUCACAUGCCUGUUCUCUUUUAGUACCUGGAUGUUUUCACUCUGAAGAAAUAAAACCACAGUCAACUUUAAAAAGCAGGAACACACCUUGAAUUAGCCUUUAUAUUUUAUUUUGUUUCAGUAAUAAACUCCUCAGCCUAUUUGCAUUAUAACACCUCAGCUACUCUAGUUUUUAAUUUAAGCACUAAAUGUAUUUGCUACCACUAAUAAAAUAUGCAAUAUUUAA